rnacentral:rRNA from 1 species
GGUGACAAUGGCAAGGAGGUCACACCUGUUCCCAUGCCGAACACAGAAGUUAAGCUCCUUAGCGCCGAUGGUAGUCGGGCUUACGUCCCGCUAGAGUAGGACGUUGCCAGGC